UUCUUCGGGGCAGGGUGUAAUUCCCUACCGACGGUUAUAGUCCGUGACCCACGCAAGUGGCUGAUUUGGUGGAAUUCCAAAACCGACAGUGACAGUCUGGAUGGGAGAAGAA
rnacentral:ncRNA from 1 species